rnacentral:sRNA from 1 species
CAUGCCCCUUAUACGCUGGGCUACACACGUGCUACAAUGGGUAGAACAGAGAGUCGCAAAGCUGUGAAGUGGAGCUAAUCUCAGAAAACUAUUCUUAGUUCGGAUUGUACUCUGCAACUCGAGUACAUGAAGUUGGAAUCGCUAGUAAUCGCGAAUCAGCAAUGUCGCGGUGAAUACGUUCUCGGGUCUUGUACACACCGCCCGUCACACCACGAGAGUUGGUUGCACCUGAAGUAGCAGGCCUAACCGUAAGGAGGGAUGCUCCGAGGGUGUGAUUAGCGAUUGGGGUGAAGUCGUAACAAGGUAUCCGUACGGGAACGUGCGGAUGGAUCACCUCCUUUCUAAGGAGUAUAAGUCUUUCUCUAUUCUAUUGGUAAUGUUCUUUACAUUACUUCUGAACAUUGGAAACUAUAUAGUAGAACAAACAAGAAUAAAAUUAACUCUAACAAUUUCUUAGAGUUAGCUGUCAAAAAAUAGGUUAAAAUAAUUAAGGGCACACAAAGGAUGCCUAGGUAGUAAGAGCCGAUGAAGGACGUGGUAAGCUGCGAUAAGCCUAG